UACAGAGGUCCCAAGCGUUGUUCGGAUUCACUGGGCGUAAAGGGUGCGUAGGUGGUGGCGUAAGUCGGAUGUGAAAUCUCGGAGCUCAACUCCGAAAUGGCAUUGGAAACUGCGUCGCUAGAGGGUCGGAGGGGGGACUGGAAUUCUCGGUGUAGCAGUGAAAUGCGUAGAUAUCGAGAGGAACACCAGUGGCGAAGGCGAGUCCCUGGACGACUCCUGACACUGAGGCACGAAAGCUAGGGGAGCAAAC
rnacentral:rRNA from 1 species